rnacentral:lncRNA from 13 species
AAAAAACCAAAAGCCUCUCCCGAGGCUGGGCUUUCUUCACAUAAAGUGAUUACCACGUGUCAGAAAUAAACUGCAGUCCCCUUUGGAGAACAAGGAGGUUGGAUCAAAAAGGAGAACUAUUUCAAAACAUGCUGCCAGCUCUUUAAAAAAAAAUUUUUUUUUUUUUGGAUGUGGAGAGGAGGAUUUCAAAAACAAACAAAAAAAAAGAUGGACUCUCAAUCUGUCACUCAGGCUGGAGUGCAUUAGCGCGAUCCACAGCAUCGAACUCCUGGGCUCAAGGGAUCCUACAGCCUCAGCUCGCUGAGUAGCUGGGACUACAGGAGCAAAUCGCU